rnacentral:rRNA from 1 species
GGAUGAGCCCGCGGCCUAUCAGCUUGUUGGUGAGGUAAUGGCUCACCAAGGCGACGACGGGUAGCCGGCCUGAGAGGGCGACCGGCCACACUGGGACUGAGACACGGCCCAGACUCCUACGGGAGGCAGCAGUGGGGAAUAUUGCACAAUGGGCGAAAGCCUGAUGCAGCGACGCCGCGUGAGGGAUGACGGCCUUCGGGUUGUAAACCUCUUUCAGCAGGGAAGAAGCGAAAGUGACGGUACCUGCAGAAGAAGCGCCGGCUAACUACGUGCCAGCAGCCGCGGUAAUACGUAGGGCGCAAGCGUUGUCCGGAAUUAUUGGGCGUAAAGAGCUCGUAGGCGGUCUGUCGCGUCGGAUGUGAAAGCCCGGGGCUUAACCCCGGGUCUGCAUUCGAUACGGGCAGACUAGAGUGUGGUAAGGGAGAUCGGAAUUCCUGGUGUAGCGGUGAAAUGCGCAGAUAUCAGGAGGAACACCCGGUGGGCGAAAGGCGGAUCUCUGGGGCAUACUGACGCUGAAGAACCAAAGCGUGGGGGAGCGAACAGGAUUAAAUAACCCUGGGUAGUCCCCGCC